UACGUAGGGUGCGAGCGUUAAUCGGAAUUACUGGGCGUAAAGCGUGCGCAGGCGGUUUGUUAAGACAGAUGGGAAAUCCCCGGGCUUAACCUGGGAACUGCAUUUGUGACUGCACAGCUGGAGUGCGGCAGAGGGGGAUGGAAUUCCGCGUGUAGCAGUGAAAUGCGUAGAUAUGCGGAGGAACACCGAUGGCGAAGGCAAUCCCCUGGACCUGUACUGACGCUCAUGCACGAAAGCGUGGGGAGCAAACAGG
rnacentral:rRNA from 1 species